UACGAAGGGGGCGAGCGUUGUUCGGAUUUACUGGGCGUAAAGGGCGCGUAGGCGGCCGAUCAAGUCAGGCGUGAAAGCCCCGGGCUCAACCUGGGAAUGGCGCUUGGGACUGGUUGGCUUGAGUUCGGGAGAGGAGAGUGGAAUUCCCAGUGUAGAGGUGAAAUUCGUAGAUAUUGGGAAGAACACCAGUGGCGAAGGCGGCUCACUGGCCCGGUACUGACGCUGAGGCACGAAAGCGUGGGGAGCAAACAGG
rnacentral:rRNA from 1 species